rnacentral:lncRNA from 1 species
GUGUGUUUAGUCGAGUAGACCUUUUAUAAUAGUAGAAUAGCUUUAUGAUAUUUAGCUUUUUGUUUCUUUUAGUUGAUUUAUAUGACUGGUGUGUUGAAACUUAGACAUUCGCUGAUAGGGAAGCUGUUAAUCCCGGUUAUCCUGUAGUGAGGUCUCAAGGGGAGCCGAUAUCAGAUUCAAGUUUAGCAAAGCUGAAAAGGGACAAUAUUUUAAUAGAUUACUCUGUAGAGAAACGUUUUAAGGAGUAUGGGGUUAUCAGGAGAAACGGUGAAUAGUGUGAUGGUGCUGACAGGGAAAGAUAUACAUAUGGAAAAUGUCUGAAUGCUAUUGCAUUUUGCAAUUUUGUAUUCCAACCUAUAGUUGAUGCCUCAAAAGGGAAGUCUUGAAGAAAACAUAUAAUAUACAAACGUGAUCACCGAGUACGGCUGUUUUUAAAAAUUGGUGGUGGGACUGAGGCAGUUGUCAUUCUUAGCAACAAGUUUCAUGUCGUGUUUACCUACCUUUCUAGAGAAAGAGUUGCAUAGCUUACUACCACUGGGUUGGCAAACAUUUGUGUUGCGUUGAUGACAAAUGCAAGAAGUUAAUUGUCAUUCAGUUGAACAUUUACAGAUAGAGUAAUGUUGCUGGUACAU